rnacentral:rRNA from 1 species
UCCGUAGGUGAACCUGCGGAAGGAUCAUUACUGAGUUUUGAAGUGGGAUUGAUGCUGGCAUCUUUUUUGAUGCAUGUGCUCAGCCCCGCUCUCAAAUCCACUCAACACCUGUGCACUUUCAAAGUUGUAGUCCUCCGUAAUGGGAGUCGCAAGUCUUUUUUGACUUGCUGGGACUGCGCUUUGCCAUUUAUCACAAACGAUAUUCAUUGUUUUGUAGAAUGUCUAGCCUCAUUGUAGGUGAAACUUAAUACAACUUUCAACAACGGAUCUCUUGGCUCUCGCAUCGAUGAAGAACGCAGCGAAAUGCGAUAAGUAAUGUGAAUUGCAGAAUUCAGUGAAUCAUCGAAUCUUUGAACGCACCUUGCGCUCCUUGGUAUUCCGAGGAGCAUGCCUGUUUGAGUGUCGUGAAAUUAUCAACUCCUAUUCUUUAUUGAAUGGUGAGCUUGGAUUUGGAGAUUGCUGGUGAAAAUCGGCUUCUCUUGAAUGAAUUAGCUGGAAUUUGAUUCGCAGCAUAUAUGCGGUGUGAUAAUGUCGUCACUGUGUAGCUCGGAUUGUCUGGCUUCUAAUCGUCUUUCAUGGACAAUUUGAUCAUUUUGACCUCAAAUCAGGUAGGACUACCCGCUGAACUUAAGCAUAUCAAUAAGCGGAGGA